rnacentral:rRNA from 1 species
GGGGUGCAAGCGUUGUUCGGAAUUAUUGGGCGUAAAGCGCGUGUAGGCGGUCUGAUUAGUCUGAUGUGAAAGCCCUGGGCUCAACCCAGGAAGUGCAUUGGAUACUGUCAGACUUGAAUACGGGAGAGGGUAGUGGAAUUCCUAGUGUAGGAGUGAAAUCCGUAGAUAUUAGGAGGAACACCGGUGGCGAAGGCGGCUACCUGGACCGAUAUUGACGCUGAGACGCGAUAGCGUGGGUAGCAAACAGGAUUAGAUACCCUGGUAGUCCACGCCGUAAUCGAUGAGUACUAGGUGUUGCGGGUAUUGACCCCUGCAGUGCCGCAGCUAACGCAUUAAGUACUCCGCCUGGGAAGUACGGUCGCAAGACUAAAACUCAAAGGAAUUGACGG